rnacentral:lncRNA from 1 species
GCUUUCAAAAACCUGCAAAUGCAUUUCUGUUCAGUAAACCUACACCUUGCUGGAUCACCAAUUGACCUAAUGGACCCCAUGUAGAAAUAUUUACCUUUGUGAAAACAGACACAGCAAAGAGCCAAAGGAAUUACUUUAUAAAGGGUAGUGUGUCUGCCACCAGCAAGGGAGCGUUUAGGACCACAUGUUUGGGGUUGAUAGUGCAAGGCUGGCCUUCACCUGCUGACCUGCCAACCCUCUCCAAAAGAAAAAGACAAAGGAUCCCAUCUCCUGUAUUUCCUGGGAGCCCAGCCCAGUGUCUGGCACAGAGAAGAUAGUCGAUGAGUAUCAAAUGUCCCAGGCAAUCCGUCUGAGGGGCCACCCGCUGCUGAAAG